UUGACGGUACCCUACUAGAAAGGAGCCGCUAACUUCGUGCCAGAAGCGUCGGUAAUACGGGGGCUCCAAGCGUUAUCCGGUGUUAUUGGGCGUAAAGAGUCGUGUAGGUGGUUGGGUAAGUUAUCUUUCAAAUAUCUUUGCUUAACAAAGAGGAGGGGGAUAAUACUGCUCGACUAGAAUUUUCUCAAGGGAGAUCGGAACUGAGGGAGGAGUAGUGAAAUGCGUUGAUACCCUCGGGAACACCAGUGGCGUAGGCGGAUCUCUGGGAGAAGAUUGACACUGAGACACGAAAGCUAGGGGAGCGAAGCAGAUUAGAGACCUGCGUAGUCCUAGCCGUAAACGCAUGCUUGCUAGCUGCAUGAAUCUACCUUCGGGUGGUAUCGUGUGGCGAAGGUAACCCGUUAAGCAAGCCGCCUGGAAAGUACGGCCGCAAGGCUGAAAUUCAAAGGAAUUGGCGGGGAGGCACACAACCAGUGGAACAUGUGGUUUAAUUCGAGACUAACCGAAGAACCUCACCAGGGUUUGACAUGUAGCUGCACGUCUUAAGAAAUUAAGACUCUCUUGAAGGUGCUACACAGGUGCUGCAUGGCUGUCGUCAGCUCGUUCCGUGAGGAGUGCCCUUAAGUGGGACAACGAGCGCAACCCCUAUUACAUGUUAGAAAUGUCAUGUAAGACUGCCUUGCCAUUUGGCGGGGAGGAAGGAGGGGCAGACGUCAAGUCCGCAUGGUCCUUAUGCCCUGGGCUACACACAUGUUACAAUGAGUACGGCAAUGAGUCUGUCGCGAGCACGUAAGUGUAAGCUAAUCUCUUAAAUGUACUCUCAGUGGGGAUUGAGGUCUGCAACUCGACCUCAUGAACACGGAAUUGGUAGUACUCGCGGGUCAGCUAUACUGCGGUGAUACGUUCUUGCCUCUUGCACACACCGCCCGUCAAACCAGCAAAGU
rnacentral:rRNA from 1 species